CAAUAGCGUAUAUUAAAGUUGUUGCGGUUAAAAAGCUCGUAGUUGGAUUUCUGUCGAGGACGACCGGUCCGCCCUCUGGGUGAUGCAUCUGGCUCGGCCUUGGCAUCUUCUUGGGGAACGUUACUGCACUUGACUGUGUGGUGCGGUAUCCAGGACUUUUACUUUGAGGAAAUUAGAGUGUUUCAAGCAGGCGCACGCUUUGAAUACAUUAGCAUGGAAUAAUAAGAUAGGACCUUGGUUCUAUUUUGUUGGUUUCUAGAGCUGAGGUAAUGAUUAAUAGGGAUAGUUGGGGGCAUUCGUAUUUAACUGUCAGAAGUGAAAUUCUUGGAUUUGUUAAAGACGGACUACUGCGAAAGCAUUUGCCAAGGAUGUUUUCAUUGA
rnacentral:rRNA from 1 species